rnacentral:rRNA from 1 species
GUCUAUGUGGAGGUGUACAUAGUUUAACCUGCUCACUGAUCAAAUUAAAGAGCCGCAGUAUUUUGACUGUGCGAAGGUAGCAUAAUAAAUUGUCUUUUAAAUAAAGGCUUGAAUGAAAGGUUGGACAAAGUAUCAUCUGUUUCUUAAAUAUUUAUUGAAUUUGACUUUUAAGUGAAAAGGCUUAAAUAACUCAAAAAGACGAUAAGACCCUAUAAAUCUUUACAAUAGUUAUAUUUUAUAUUUUAGCUUAUAAGUAUAUAAAAGAUAAAAAUAUAAGUUUGUUUCGCUGGGGCGGCGUAGAUAUAUAAAUAAACUGUCUAUGGUUUAAAUACAGUAGUCACUGUUUAGUUCAAGUUGAUCCUUAAAUAGAUUAAAAGAUUAAGAUACUUUAGGGAUAACAGCGUUAUUUUUUCUGAGAGUUCUUAUCGAAGAGAGAGUUUGCGACCUCGAUGUUGAAUUAAAGUAUCUUUAUGGUGUAGCCGCUAUAAGAGAGAGUCUGUUCGACUUUUUAAUACUUUACAUGAUUUGAGUUCAGACCGGCGUGAGCCAGGUUGGUUUCUAUCUUUUGUUAUGUAUAGAAUUAUUUUAGUACGAAAGGAUUAAAUAAUUAAAAUAUUUUUAUAAUUUAGAAUAUUAAUAUCCU